UCGAGGAAAUUUUUUGACUUU
ensembl:piRNA 21ur-9892 ncRNA